AACCGUUCGGGGGUAAACGGACAGAGCCCGUGAAUCCGGGCGCGCGGAAUUCAGGAUCGACGGUAAGCGUCGUCGAUUCGAUAUUUCCGCCGCCGACCCGUAUCGGGUGCGGACGUCGCGACCCGUUCGACGUCGGUCUUACGGGGCGCGCUUCAAGUUCGUUUGCGUUGGCGUCGUUGCGCUCGACGAUGGCGCGUCUUGNNCGGGCCGACGUUGACGGUAGCGGUAGAGCGGGUAUUCGACGCCGCCCGGCGCGCUUUCUCGUGCGUUGUCGGGCGCGCGCGUCGACGCCGGUCAGCGACGAAUCUUCGGGCCUCUUUCCGACCCGUCUUGAAACACGGACCAAGGAGUCUAACGUGCGCGCGAGUCGCGGGGUAUNCGAGUCGUUACGCGACUCGUCACGAUACGAAACCCGUUCACGUACGCUGUACGAAGGCGCAAUGAAAGUGAUGGGCGACGCGCCGCGCGUCAUCCGGGAAGACGGCGUUCCGCGUACACGUUUCUCGGUCGCACGGUACCGAGGCCGGACGCCCGCAUUCCCAGGGCGUCCCGUCGAUCCGCCGGCAGUGCGGAUUCGCGCCGGCUGCGGACGAAUCGGGGCGCACCUAUAGCGUGCACGUUGGUACCCGAAAGAUGGUGAACUAUGCCCGGCCAGGAUGAAGUCAGGGGAAACCCUGAUGGAGGUCCGCAGCGAUUCUGACGUGCAAAUCGAUCGUCUGAGCUGGGUAUAGGGGCGAAAGACUAAUCGAACCAUCUA
rnacentral:rRNA from 1 species